AGUGAAGUGCUUGUCUUAAUUAAAACUUGCAAGGAAGAAAAUGUUUGGGUUUCCUACAAUGAAGGGGAAGCUGCAACUCCCUAAACCUGAGGCUUGAGACAAAAUGCUUCAGUGAGUCAGAAGAUUAAAGCAUAGAAGUUUAACUAGCAGAGAGUUCAAGAAGCUACUGAGCCAUGACAGACCAGACAGUUUUGUGACUGACAGGGGAUGAUCUGACCUGAAAGCACAUGAGACCACCACCUUGCUAAAGCUCAGCAGGUCUGUGUUUGGACAGUGUCUGGAUGGGAGACUCCCACACUUCACAGUGAGAGCCUUGGGUCCAGUGAUGGAAGAAAGGCAUAAUAUACAUGAGGGAAAAUAAAGAAUAAAAAAUUAUCACCAUACUCUUAUGUU